AUUAAGCUGAAUCCAGCCCAGGAGCGGGGGAACCAAGUUUUUUGGGGCGAACUUCACGAUUACAUUAUUUGACAGUGUAAGGAAUGGAGCGGGUGGUCUUCUCUACCCGAGCCCGGCAGCUAACCUCGUAAGCGAACAGAGAGAGGA
rnacentral:sRNA from 1 species